rnacentral:rRNA from 1 species
GACGAACGCUGGCGGCGUGCUUAACACAUGCAAGUCGAACGGAAAGGCCCUGCUUAUGUGGGGUGCUCGAGUGGCGAACGGGUGAGUAACACGUGAGUAACCUGCCCUUGACUUUGGGAUAACUUCAGGAAACUGGGGCUAAUACCGGAUAGGAGCUCCUGCUGCAUGGGGGGGGUUGGAAAGUUUCGGCGGUUGGGGAUGGACUCGCGGCUUAUCAGCUUGUUGGUGGGGUAGUGGCUUACCAAGGCUUUGACGGGUAGCCGGCCUGAGAGGGUGACCGGCCACAUUGGGACUGAGAUACGGCCCAGACUCCUACGGGAGGCAGCAGUGGGGAAUAUUGCACAAUGGGCGGAAGCCUGAUGCAGCAACGCCGCGUGCGGGAUGACGGCCUUCGGGUUGUAAACCGCUUUCGCCUGUGACGAAGCGUGAGUGACGGUAAUGGGUAAAGAAGCACCGGCUAACUACGUG